AGCAGCCGCGGUAAUUCCAGCUCCAAUAGCGUAUAUUAAAGUUGUUGCAGUUAAAAAGCUCGUAGUUGAAUUUCGGGGUUAGUAGGUUGGUCAUGCCUCUGGUAUGUACUGGUCUCACUGAUUCCUCCUUCCUGAUGAGCCGUAAUGCCAUUAAUUUGGUGUUGCGGGGAAUUUGGACUGUUACUUUGAAAAAAUUAGAGUGUUUAAAGCAAGCUAACGCUUGAAUACAUUAGCAUGGAAUAAUGAAAUAGGACGUUCGAUCCUAUUUUGUUGGUUUCUAGGAUUGACGUAAUGAUUAAUAGGGAUAGUUGGGGGCAUUAGUAUUCAAUUGUCAGAGGUGAAAUUCUUGGAUUUAUUGAAGACUAACUACUGCGAAAGCAUUUUGCCAAGGAUGUUUUCAUUAAUCAAGAACGAAAGUUAGGGGAUCGAAGACGAUCAGAUACCGUCGUAGUCUUAACCAUAAACUAUGCCGACUAGGGAUCGGAUGAUGUUAAUUUUUUAAUGACUCA
rnacentral:rRNA from 1 species